GUGACAAUUAAAAUGCCCAUGCCAUUGAAUAUGAAAAUGCCUGUGGCAUUGGACAUGAUGGGUAGUCAGUCACCUGUCCACGUCACAUUAUAUGGAAAGAGAAACAGAGAGAGCCACAACAUGCCUAGAGAACCAAAGAGGCCAGAAACCACCUGGAGAGACAUCACCUGGAUUUUUGUUGCUAAUUCCCAUUCCUUUAAUGGUCUAGGGUUUGUAAGCUUCAUAUGAAUUCUUAGAAUAUUGGUUGAUUGAUUGAUUGAUUGAUUUGGUUGGUUAGAGAUGCUUUACCACUGCUACCAAAACUAAACAAACCAGUGACAGCUUGAAUGAGAACGGUCUUUGUAGGCUCAUAUAUUUGAAUAUUUGGUUCCCAGUUGGCGGACUGUUUAGGAAUUGAUUAGGAGGUGUGGUGCUGUUGGAGGAGGUAUGGUAUAGAGGGUGUGCUCUGAGGUUUUAAAAGCUACAGGUUCUCUCUCUGCCUCCAUCUUGUGGAUGUAAACUCUCAUCUACUGUUCCAGUGCCACGCCUACCUGCUGUCAUGCUUCCUACCGUGAUGACUAUAGACUAACUCUGAAAUAGUAAGUAGGCAAGCCCCUAAUUAAAUUCAUUCUUCUAUAAGUAGCCAUGGUCAUGGAGUCUCUUCAUAGCAAUAGAAUAGCACCUAAGACCAAAACCAAAGCACAAAGCAAAACAAACACUUUCUGUCUAAGUACAAAAAUAAAUUCAGAUAUUUCCAGAUUUAUGUCUGUCUAAACAGAAUGAAUUGUUUGAUUUCAGGAGGAUUCUCAUGGCUUGUUUUCUGUUUGUCUUCUUUCUUUCUUUUUAUUAAUAUUUUCUUCAUUAAUACACGAGAAAUGCAUCUUUAACUGUUUCUGCAGUAAGCCUUCAGGAAAAAUUUAAUUUCUAAAUGUUUAGGUUUACUCAAUUUUUGUUCAAGUUUGAAAACUUGGUAUUAGAGUUUAUGUAAAUUUGGGGAUCGUUCAGAUUGUAAGUUGGUUCAGUGUGUAAUGGCUUGUUGCACAGGUCUGGCCACCUGAGCUCAAUGGAGCGUGUACUGGGCAUUUUUAAAAAGAGUCUAGUUUUUCUCUACCCGAGGCUAGCUACCAAAGGAAAGAGACUGAGAUUACUAGAUUUAUUCAAUCAAGCUUUCCCGCCAAUACCCCGGCAGUCAUUGAUCUAUUUUAAUCCUCAAAGGUAAGCUGGCUACCUCCCAGCCAAAAUCCCCAGGAUGCUUGCAUUUUAGUGUUGGUCUGGUUCUCUGGGCUUCAGAUGUGUGUUCCCAUGUUGUCUCCUCUCACCCUCCUCUUCGUGGCUGAAUUUCUUACUCUUUUCCGCUACCCACCCACAACCUGGCUAGCUGAAGUUACGCCCUGUUUUCCCUUCUGCCCAGCCAUUGGUUGGACAGCUUAUAUUGACAGGGCAGAGAGUCAAUGGUAGGCAUUGUUUACACAAACUUGAAACAGGAGAUAUUUGGAAUAAACUAUAAUGCCAUGUCCGCAUUGCAAGAAGAUGUGAGGGUAGAGAUAUAAGCAUUUGAUUAGCCAAAAGAUAAUCUUUACACACGGCACAAAACCAUCAUGGCUACAGGUGAAAGCAUGUAUAAACAUGGAAGGAUAGAGGCAGCUUUAUGAAGCUGCCCUUUGAUCUCGACACACCAUUCCUCCUAUCUACUCAUCAGUUAAACACACACCUAAUAGUAAUAUACAUACAUGUAUAUGUAUAUGUAUAUGUAUAUGUAUAUGUAUAUGUAUAUGUAUAUGUAUAUGUAUAUGUAUAUGUAUAUGUAUAUGUAUAUAGACACACACACACACAUAUAUAUACAUAUAAUUUAAAAACUUAGAUGAUACUUUAAACCACAUGAAACAUUUAUGAAUGAUCCUAGAAGAAUCUAGUACAAUGUCUGGUAACUCAGAUAGGUUUUUUAUGAAACAUUACUUUAUGUCCCAACUUAAUGAUUGCUGUGGAAAAAUACUAUCUUAUGCACAGUGCUUGCAUGUUGGUAUUUUAGUAUGACUUGUCCUGAAGAAAGAGCUGCAGGUGUACAAAGGCAGCAACAUCAAUUCUGUGCCCCCCCCCCAAAAAUUGAAAUUAAAAAAAAAUCUAGCAAAAAUGCAAGUAAAUCAAGUAUCUUCUUGAAUGCAGAUCUAUAGGGCUGGUUGCAUGGACUCAUGGUUGAUUGCUACUUAAGGGAGAACAAGCAUAAAGUUAGUCAAUCAACAGGAAUUGUUCAAGUCACACACUACGACUGUGUGUGUGUCCCGGAAUUUUCUUACUAUAAUUUUCAAUGCAUUUAAUCAGGUGUUUCACUUGGGUACUGUCUAUAAGGCUGUGAACCACAUGGUCCAGUCUCGGAAUGCACAGCAAGGAAAACACUCAAACAAAAAGCCGUUACCAAAAACUUAAAAUAUCUUACCUCCAUUUCUGGAAUACCACAACGAUGGCCCAUAUCCAGGGUAUUACUUGUUCAAACCCUUACUUCUCUUGUUCUGUAUAAUGCAGUUAUUUUAUCCUUAUUUUUCGAGACCCUGAAUCUAUACACCACUCUCUUCUGCUUCCUUCCUUCUACCAACUAAACUCACACCAUGGAGGGUCACAAGAAUCAAUCUGGUUACUUUGGCUUCUUACCAGCUAGUCAAGAUGAAAAAACAAACAAACAAAAAAAAACAAAAAACAAAAAACCAAAAACAAAACAAAAACCAAAAACAAAAACCUGAGAGAUCCCUGGCAGAAUUCUCUUGAAUAAGAAAGAAGAAAGAAAUAAUAGUGUUAUUCACAAAUGAGUGAAUUAUCUUUAUUAUUAAAUUGUUUUAAUUUCACUAUUUAUUGUUCAUUAUUUAUUUGUUUGUUCACUCAUUGUUGUUAUUUGAGAAUACAGAGCAUCAAAACUAGGACCGGGGACUAACUAGGCAAAGAGUCUAACAGCGAACUAAAUGCCUAGCCCUCGUUUUUAAAUUUGUUUUAAAGGAAUGUCAAUCUGUGUAGCCCCAGCUGGCCUCAAACCCAUCAUUCUAAGUGCCAGGAUUAUAGGCAUACACUUCUGUGACGAAAGUGGAGUGUGUUUCCAGCUCUCCCACUUAGUUAUUUAUCUUGAAUUCAGUCAUCACACUGUUUAGGUGGCUAUUGUUCCCUCUAGGCAUUCCCAGAGAGAAUGCCUACUUGGUGCCAGGUCCUGGUUUUGACCCUCUGUAUUGUUAAAUAACAAUGAAUGAAUGAAUGAAUGAAUGAAUGAAUGAAUGAAUGAACAAACAUACAAACAAAUAAACAAUAAAUAGGGACAUUAAAACAAUUUGGUAAUAAAGAUAAUUCACUCAUUUAUGAAUAACACAGUCAUUUCUCUCUUCUCCUUUCUGGAUCUGAGUUAGUAUUGUCUAGUAUAAAGUAUACUAUUAUUUUUUAUAGAACUUUAUAUACAGUUCUAGGGCAGCAAGAGCUACAUCGAGAAGUCCUGCAUCAAAAACACAACAAAAACAAACAAACAAACAAAACAAAAAGAAAAUAAAAAAUAACAACAGCAGUAAAAAAGAUUUUAGGUUGAGAGAACUCAAAUAAGCAGCCAUUCUUCACAUGUCUUGGUUUGGAUGUAUUGUUUUUAGGGAAUGGUUUUCCCAUGUGUCUCAGGCUGUUCUCUGAAAUGCAAGAAAGUAAAUUAGAACCUCCCAGGGAUACACACAUAUGAUGCUGUCUUCUGAAAAAGCCUUGAGUUGUAUUUAUCUGACUAAGGAACAGGGCAUAGAUGAGUCUAAGGAAUUUUUAUCUUCAAGGGCAAUGACGUUAAUCAAAUCAAAAAGUGUUGUUUGGAUCCAUGAAAUAGGGGCAAAGGACCCAUGGCAGCAUCUGCCAUGUUUAACAGGGUGGAUAAACCAAGAAGCCAAGUGGCAGUCAGACAAAUAUCCCAGCAGCGUUUUAAGGUGGAUUACAGCACCAGUCUCCAAAUUGUUAGCGCUGAAGACAUAAAGUCAUAGCUGCACGUUGUCAUCCACAGUAGGCCAAACGUUCCCCUAAAUAUCUAGGGACCUCAAUUUGGGCAGAAUCUAGAUUCAUGGCUUUGGCACUGAAAGGAAUUGUAGAAGUGUCUAGUAUAAUAACGAUAUUUUAAUACAGGUUUAAGCAUGAAGGUUAAGAGCAAGUGAACAACUUAAUGGGAAAUUAAGAUAUGCUAGUGUGGAUGUUUGGGCUUCUCAAGGGACAGUAGUCCUUCUAAGAAGGAAUUUUAAAUGUAGUAUGCUAUUUAUUUUUUAAACCUUGCAUUUUUUAAAUCUUAAAACAGGACAUAAAACUAUUUUUUCUUUGAUGUAGAAUUUUGUCCUGUAAAGAAGUAAAAAAGGAAAAUGAAAAGUUCAGAGGAAGAUAGAUCAUAGAGGUGUUCUCGAAAUUUAUCUUUAGCUCUACAUAAUCUCUAACUUAACAUAAAUAAAUUUCUAUUUAUUUUUAACCUUUGCGAACUGAUAUUUAGUUCUUAGAACUAUUAGUAAUGUUUAUAAAUGACCAACUUUAUCAUUUUACGUGAUACUAAAUUUUAAUUGAAUUAUACUAUUUAUAUAUAUAUUUUUUAAAGAAAAUAGUAUAUGCAUCACAUCCAUCACACCAGGGAUAGUCUUAGAAGCAGGAGAAGAAAGAUUGUAAGAGCCAAGUUGUUAGAUAAUGUUGAGAAAACACUAUUUUCUGAAUAUAACAUGGUAGUUGCACUUAUAAACUCACAGUGAUCAUAGAAGCGUGCAAAAGACCUGCAUAAGCUCAAACCAGACAAAAUCCUACCAUAGCAUGGGGAAGGUAGGUACACAGUCCCAUCACCACGGAGCUAUUGGCAUUUCAUCACUGCUGGGAAGAGGAGAGUCACCUUUCUUUAAUGAUGUGACCUAUGGAAGGUUGUCCACACACAAGAGGGAAGUCUUUAUCCCCAAGACUAGUUGUUCAGUACAAACUGAACUUGAUGGAGGUUAAAAAUGAAAAAAUAAAAUAAAAAUAAGAAAGCUCAAAGUUGAAUGUGAGGGUGAGAAGAUGGUUGUAAAAGGAGUUGGGGAGAAACUGUAAAUGUGUUCAAAAUUAAUUCAGGAUAGUCUCAAAGGAUUAGUGAAAAUAUUGCUCUUUUUCUUGGUCUAGGAUAUUUAGUUAACCAUAUCAAUCAAACCAGUUCAGAGAUAGCAAGUGUUUCCCCACUAAGGGAAAUGCAACGAAACUAUCUUUACUUAGAUUUUAGAAACUUUUUGUUUGAUUUAUUUUAUUUUAUUUUAUUUUAUGUGUACUAGUCUUUUGUCUGCAUACAUAUUGGGAUAUUCCACAUACUUCUGAUACCCAGGGAGGUUAGAAGAUGGUAUUUGAUUCCUUGGAACUGGAGUUUGUCUAUGACUGUGUGCCCCUGUGUGGAUGUUGAAACUUAAACCUGGGUCCUCCACAACAAUGACAAGUGCUCUUAUCUACUGAGCCAUCUCUCCAGCUACUCAUAUGUGCAUUAACACUUACAUGUUGAGUGAACUUAUUUAUCAAACAUGAAGUCAGCUGGAAUAACAAAUAUGUAUUUGCUUUUCUCCAAACAUGUUUCCUUUCCUUAGAUAAGACUUGAGGGUGGGGUAUGUUUAGAGAAACAGACUGCUAGUGAUUUAACAAUCCAACUGGUCAGAAACUACCUACUGUGUUUUCAGAGGCCUGAAAGCAAGCAGAAGGCCAGGACAACAGAAAACACAAGAUCAAAAUGGUCUGAAGUCAAGAUGCUUUCAAAGCAAACCAACAUAAUGAAUGCAAACCAAAACCCCAGAAGAUAAUAUACAGAUGAGACAGCAUGAGAGAGUGCGUGUGUGCUAUUAAACACUGGAGAUAUAUG
rnacentral:lncRNA from 1 species